AACGUAGGAGGCGAGCGUUAUCCGGAUUCACUGGGCGUAAAGCGAGCGUAGGCGGUUGGUCAAGUCGAACGUGAAAGCCCCUGGCUCAACUGGGGGAGGCCGUUCGAUACUGAUCGGCUUGAGGGUGAGAGAGGAGAGUGGAAUUCCCGGUGUAGCGGUGGAAUGCGUAGAGAUCGGGAGGAACACCAGUGGCGAAAGCGGCUCUCUGGCUCAUCUCUGACGCUGAGUGCUCGAAAGCGUGGGGAGCAAA
rnacentral:rRNA from 1 species